rnacentral:rRNA from 1 species
UCAAGCGAAUAAGGGCGUACGGUGGAUGCCUUGGCACUGACAGGCGAUGAAGGUCGUGGCAAACUGCGAUAAGCCUUGGGGAGGAGUAAGCAUCCGUUGAUCCAGGGAUGACCGAAUGGGCAAACCCAUACAGGUAAAACCUGUAUAUCCGUCUACUGAAUAAAUAGGUAGCGGAAGCUAGACCCGGGGAACUGAAACAUCUAAGUACCCGGAGGAAAAGAAAGAGAGAUCGAUUCCCUAAGUAGUGGCGAGCGAAAGGGGAAGAGCCCAAACCGAUGUCUACGUUAAAGGCUGCAGCCGUUGUAACGUCGGGGUAAUAGGACCGUUUGAGCACAAUCUGCAAAUUGUGCUGCAAGUUACAAAAUAUCUGUUUAACUGAACCUGCUGGGAAGAGGGGCAAAGAGGGUGAUACCCCCGUAAGUGAAAAGCAGAUAUCUUGCAAGAGCGGCACCUGAGUACCGCGGGGCACGUGAAACCCUGUGGGAAUUCUCGAGGACCACCUCGAAAGGCUAAAUACUAGUCAGUGACCGAUAGUGAACAAGUACCGUGAGGGAAAGGCGAAAAGAACCGCUGUGAGCGGAGUGAAAUAGAACCUGAAACCGUAUGCUUACAAGGAGUAGGAGGGCUAUGCAGCAAUGUAUGCCUGACUGCGUGCCUUUUGUAGAAUGAUCCGGCGACUUACUUUAAUAUAGCGAGGUUAAGUGAUAGAAAUCACGGAGCCGAAGGGAAACCGAGUCUGAAUAGGGCGAUAGUUAUAUUAAGUAGACCCGAAACCAAGUGAUCUAUCCACGGUCAGGUUGAAGCAGGGGUAAGACCCUGUGGAGGACCGAACCGGUGUCUGUUGAAAAAGCCUCGGAUGAACUGUGGAUAGGGGUGAAAGGCCAAACAAACUUGGAAAUAGCUGGUUCUCCCCGAAAUAGCUUUAGGGCUAGCCUCGUGUGUUUCGUUGUUGAGGUAGAGCACUGAAAGAGCUAGGGGGUUUACCAAUCUACCAAACUCUAUCAAACUUCGAAUGCGACAACGUGAGAGCACGGGAGUCAGACUGCGGGUGAUAAUAUUCGUGGUCGAGAGGGAAACAACCCGGACCAACAGCUAAGGUCCCAAAAUGUAUGUUAAGUGAGGAAGGAUGUGGAAUCACACAGACAGCCAGGAGGUUGGCUUAGAAGCAGCCAUUCCUUCAAAGAGUGCGUAAUAGCUCACUGGUCGAGUGAUUCUGCGCCAAAAAUGAUUGGGGCUAAACAUACUACCGAAGCUUUGGACUCAGCAAUGAGUGGUAGGGGAGCAUUCUGUACCGGGAUGAAGGUUGAUCGUGAGGACGACUGGACUGUACAGAAGAGAGAAUGCCGGAAUGAGUAACGAUAAAAUGUGUGAAAAACAUAUUCGCCGAAAACCCAAGGUUUUCUGGGCAAUGCUAAUCAUCUCAGAGUUAGUCGGCCCCUAAGACGAGGCUUAACAGCGUAGUCGAUGGGAAGCAGGUUAAUAUUCCUGCACCGGUUUGCGGAGGUAAUCGUGAUGGAGUGACGCAGAAAGAUAAUGGCGCAGAGUGUUGGAUUACUCUGUUCUUAGUGUAGGCUUGAUGUCCAGGUAAAUCCGGAUGUCUUAUGGCUGAGGCAAUAGGGGAGCUCGGGCAACCGAGUGAAGGUCAUGAUUCUAGGCUGCCAAGAAAAACUUCUAAACGCGAAGCAGACCGACCGUACUACAAACCGACACAGGUGGGUGGGGUGAAUAACCUAAGGCGCUCGAGAUAACUCUUGUUAAGGAACUCGGCAAAUUAGUCCCGUAACUUCGGGAAAAGGGACGCCUUUUUAGUGUGAAGUAGAACAUAUGGAGCAUGAAGAGGUCGCAGAGAAAUGGGCCAAGCGACUGUUUAGCAAAAACACAGGGCUCUGCAAAAUCGUAAGAUAAAGUAUAGGGUCUGACACCUGCCCGGUGCUGGAAGGUUAAAAGGAGAGGUUAGCGUGAUUUAUCAUGCGAAGCUUUGAAUUGAAGCCCCAGUAAACGGCGGCCGUAACUAUGACGGUCCUAAGGUAGCGAAAUUCCUUGUCAGGUAAGUUCUGACCUGCACGAAUGGUGUAACGACUUGGUCACUGUCUCAACAAGAGGCUCGGUGAAAUUGUAAUGUUAGUGAAGAUGCUGACUACCUGUAGUUGGACGGAAAGACCCCGUGCACCUUUACUGUACCCUGACACUGUGAUUUGGCAACGUAUGUGUAGGAUAGGUGGGAGACUUUGAAGUUGGGACGCCAGUCUCGAUGGAGUCGUUGUUGAAAUACCACCCUUACUUUGUUGGAUUACUAACUGAUACCCGUUAUCCGGGAUCAGGACAAUGUCUGGCGGGCAGUUUGACUGGGGCGGUCGCCUCCUAAAGAGUAACGGAGGCGCCCAAAGGUUCCCUCAGCA